GAUGAACGCUGGCGGCGUGCCUAAUACAUGCAAGUCGAGCGAACAGACGAGGAGCUUGCUCCUCUGACGUUAGCGGCGGACGGGUGAGUAACACGUGGAUAACCUACCUAUAAGACUGGGAUAACUUCGGGAAACCGGAGCUACUACCGGAUAAUAUAUUGUACCGCAUGGUUCAAUAGUGAAAGACGGUUUUGCUGUCUCUUAUAGAUGGAUCCGCGCCGCAUUAGCUAGUUGGUAAGGUAACGGCUUACCAAGGCGACGAUGCGUAGCCGACCUGAGAGGGUGAUCGGCCACACUGGAACUGAGACACGGUCCAGACUCCUACGGGAGGCAGCAGUAGGGAAUCUUCCGCAAUGGGCGAAAGCCUGACGGAGCAACGCCGCGUGAGUGAUGAAGGUCUUCGGAUCGUAAAACUCUGUUAUUAGGGAAGAACAAAUGUGUAAGUAACUAUGCACGUCUUGACGGUACCUAAUCAGAAAGCCACGGCUAACUACGUG
rnacentral:rRNA from 1 species